rnacentral:rRNA from 1 species
CCUACGGGGGGCAGCAGUGAGGAAUAUUGGUCAAUGGGCGAGAGCCUGAACCAGCCAAGUCGCGUGAGGGAAGACGGUCCUACGGAUUGUAAACCUCUUUUGCCGGGGAGCAAGAAGCGCCACGAGUGGUGCAUCGAGAGUACCCGAAGAAAAAGCAUCGGCUAACUCCGUGCCAGCAGCCGCGGUAAUACGGAGGAUGCGAGCGUUAUUCGGAAUCACUGGGCGUAAAGAGCGCGUAGGCGGGAUAGCAAGUCAGAUGUGAAAUCCUAUGGCUUAACCAUAGAACUGCAUUUGAAACUGUUAUUCUAGAGUAUGGGAGAGGUAGGUGGAAUUCGUGGUGUAGGGGUAAAAUGCGUAGAGAUCAAGAGGAAUACUGAUUGCGAAGGCGACAUGCUAGAACAUAACUGACGCUGAUGCGCGAAAGCGUGGGGAGCAAACAGGAUUAGAUACCCUGGUAGUC